GAUAAGCCUCUUGGGGCUAAAUCUAAAUAAGAGCGUUCAUAGGGAGUGUUUCACAUCGGAUCUACAAAUAAGGUAACAUCCAAACAUAGGACUUGGAUCAGCACUUGGUAGAUCCUCUCAGAAAACUUUACAUUUAUGGAUAUUUAAUGGAUUUUUGUGGACUUUUGGAAUUUGGACUUUACCUUUAUUUUGGUUGAAAUUGAUAUUUUAUGACUUUAUAACUAA